ensembl:lncRNA
CGCAGAGUUCCAAUAAUAUUUUUGUUGUUUACAUUUUAACUAUAAAACAACGUGAGCAGGUCUCACUGCAAAGAAUAGUGAAGCAGGCAUUGUGACGUUGAACAAUAAGCUGGGAAUAGAACGUUCGGAAGGCGAGUUGGUGCCACGGUGCUCAAUAGAACUAAUAGGAGCUGGCAGGGUGAAAAAUGCACUAAAAUAAGGCCCGUUUUUUCACGAUUACUUCAAAACGACAGCAAGCACUUGGGAAAUAUAGUCAUAACUGGGCUCCACGGCGGAUAAAAUGAUCUAGUUUAUGUCAGAAAAGAACGUUGUUAAAAAAUUCAUGUGUCCAGCCUACAAUCUACACAGAUUUCAGAGCACUCUCAUCUGAGUGUACCAGAGUGCAGAAUAAUUACUUUACGAGCACUCAACACCCGUUGAAUAUGGCCGGUGUCAGUAAACGUCGGACAAAAAGCGUAAUUAAAUUGUUUCCAGCAGCAUAUUUACAGUCACCAACGCUCUGGAUAACACGAAAACUGCCUUACCAGCUCUGCUAGGGCGAGUAAAAUGGUCAGAGUGGUCUCAUUUGUGUCUGGAAGUAACCAGCCAACGUUAGCUUGGGUGCUUGACUGCCGUUGUAAGGCCAGAAUGCUCAAAUCAACCCUACUCCUCGGCCCGAACGUCCUGUGUGCACUCCGAGAGCGAAACGGACUGAAAUUACAAACUGACACAUUUUCUCUGAAUGGAAACACCAUAAUAUUAAUCAAAUUAAUUAAGCCAAAUUUCUCUAAAUCAAUCCCAUAAACUAUGUUAUUACAAAAAAGGUUACAAAUUCUCUGGUAAUGCCAAUACGGAAUACUAUCAAAUGCUUCUCAAAGAUGCCCUCUGGCGGUCAAACUAGCAAUAACUUGCAGUAGCAGAAGAAAUGGCUGAGAAUGAAAUGAUGUGCCACAGAAUGCUGCAGCAGCACGCAGGGUGUCCCACAGUAUGACGCAACAUUUAAAGGAGGAACCACCGUAGAAUAAAAAUGUGUGAAUAAAAUGAUGUACAAUGACGAAAAUAUGACAAAAACAUUGACAAAUUGAUCAGGAAACAUAAGGACACAAAUAUUUUUCUCACAGUUCUUGCAUUCACGCACAGUGAAGGAUAAAACAGAAUAAUAAUGUUCGAAAUACUGAGAUUCUUUGCACAGCCACAGUUGGCGAGCUGAACUUGGGAGUUAGGCUAAUAAACACUGCCGGCUUAUGCUAGCUGGGACUUAAUCACUCACUCUUAAAGGGGCAGGCUUUCUUACAGGUGAAUAAAACAGAAAUGAAUAUACAACUGUUGUUUAUGAUCAGCAAACAGUUUGUGAUUCAUGUCAUUGUAUUGUACUGGAAGUUCUGACAACAAACUAUAAUUUAUUGGGUUCAAUGAAGAAAGUUCUAAUAGGAUUCUAAUUGGGGUACAAAAAAAAAUCCUACAAGAUUUAUAGGAUCCAAUCAGAUUAUCUAUAUUUUUCCAAUAGGGAAAAAGGUAGUCCAAUAGGAUUCCAAUUGGAUUCUGAUAGAGGUGAUACAAAAUCCUAUGGGAUUGUGAGACUCAUAUAGAGUCCAAUAUGAUUACCUUUGAUUCCCAGUAGGAAAAAGUAGUUCAAUAAAAUUCCACUAGGAUUACGAAACAUGUUCCACAAAAUCUUAUAGGACUGUGAGAAUCCUGUAGGAUUCAAUAUGAUAAAAAAAGACUAAUCCAUUAGGAAAAAAGUAGUGCAAUAGGAUUCAAAAGGGAUUUUGAGAGAGGUGACACCAAAUCCGAUAGGAUUGUGAGACUCCUAUAGGGUUCUAUUGGAAAAAUCACUAAUCCUAUAGGAUUUCUUGACUAGAGCAGGAAAUUGGACAGUAGUGACACAGACACUGUACUUACCAAGGAUUGGUUUGCAACUGUAUCCCACAGGCAAACCCAUCAUAGACAACAACACAGAUGCCAUCUAUGGGAGCAGAAAGACCAUCUGUGUGAUCAGCCGCUGCUACCGGAGAGUGAGUGGUGCUCCAGAGAGAUCCAGGUGGCCAGCAGCUUGCAGCCAAAUCAACACCUUGGUUCUUGCCUACGGUGCAGCGAUGGGAACCUCUCCUCCCUACCUCCCGUAAGAGAUGUGUAAUACUUCUGCUGCAUAUAUUUGAAAAUACAUAUCUCCAUUACUUUUUAGUAUUUUAUCAUUUGUAUUUGAGAGGCCAGAAAAAAAUCCAUGUGAUUUGUAACAGGAUCCUUCAGAACAUUUUAUCAGACGUCUUAUGACAGUAUCCUGUGUGGCCAUUACAGGUGUUGGUGGAUGAGUGGAGGAACUUGAGAGAAAGUUGAAACAGGGAUGCACUUCCAGAGAAAGGAUAAUGCAGUGAAUUUGGUCCACAUGGGAAUCGACUUUUGUAUUUUCUGUAUUUUAAAUACAAGAUAUUGUGUAUUUUAUUUGACACCAGUAUUUUGUCAUUUAUUCAGAUCAUUUGUUUGGGUGGUACUUUGUAACAAUAUACAUUUUGAUGGACACUACAUAACCAAAGGCUUCCAUCCUUCUCCCUGGACCUCCUUAAUAUCCACGUCUUGAACAUCAGACUCUGAGGCCUCAUCUUCACUGUCACUUUUCAACCUUGUUUACGAUGGCUCGUUGUCAGGCUCAAAAAGCCGC